rnacentral:rRNA from 1 species
GGCCCGCACAAGCGGUGGAGCAUGUGGUUUAAUUCGAUGCAACGCGAAGAACCUUACCUACUCUUGACAUCCAGAGAACUUAGCAGAGAUGCUUUGGUGCCUUCGGGAACUCUGAGACAGGUGCUGCAUGGCUGUCGUCAGCUCGUGUUGUGAAAUGUUGGGUUAAGUCCCGCAACGAGCGCAACCCUUAUCCUUUGUUGCCAGCGGUUAGGCCGGGAACUCAAAGGAGACUGCCAGUGAUAAACUGGAGGAAGGUGGGGAUGACGUCAAGUCAUCAUGGCCCUUACGAGUAGGGCUACACACGUGCUACAAUGGCAUAUACAAAGAGAAGCGACCUCGCGAGAGCAAGCGGACCUCAUAAAGUAUGUCGUAGUCCGGAUUGGAGUCUGCAACUCGACUCCAUGAAGUCGGAAUCGCUAGUAAUCGUGGAUCAGAAUGCCACGGUGAAUACGUUCCCGGGCCUUGUACACACCGCCCGUCACACCAUGGGAGUGGGUUGCAAAAGAAGUAGGUAGCUUAACCUUCGGGAGGGCGCUUACCACUUUGUGAUUCAUGACUGGGGUGAAGUCGUAACAAGGUAACCG